rnacentral:siRNA from 1 species
UGAGAAAUCAAAGUUUUUGGGUUC